rnacentral:rRNA from 1 species
UACGGGGGGAGCAAGCGUUGUUCGGAUUUACUGGGCGUAAAGAGCGCGCAGGCGGUCGUUCAAGUCGCGUGUGAAAGCCCCCGGCUCAACUGGGGAGGGUCACGCGAUACUGAUCGACUCGAAGGCAGGAGAGGGUAAUGGAAUUCCCGGUGUAGUGGUGAAAUGCGUAGAUAUCGGGAGGAACACCAGUGGCGAAGGCGACUACCUGGCCUGUUCUUGACGCUGAGGCGCGAAAGCUAGGGGAGCAAACGGG